GAACACACAUCAUUCUCUUCUUCAUCUUCAUUGACUGUUUUGUUUGAAACUUGCAUUUCUGUAGUAAGAGCGACCUAUUCAUCUCAUUAUAUUGAGCACUAGCAAAGCGUUUAAGGAUGUGUGCAUCAGUGUUGACUAGUUGUUUAACAUCUGAUGU